UUACCCAAUCCCGACUCGGGGAGGUAGUGACAAUAAAUACUGAUACAGGGCUCUUUUGGGUCUUGUAAUUGGAAUGAGUACAAUUUAAAUCCCUUAACGAGGAACAAUUAGAGGGCAAGUCUGGUGCCAGCAGCCGCGGUAAUUCCAGCUCCAAUAGCGUAUAUUAAAGUUGUUGUGGUUAAAAAGCUCGUAGUUGAACCUUGGGCCUGGCUGGCCGGUCCGCCUCACCGCGUGUACUGGUCCGGCCGGGCCUUUCCCUCUGUGGAACCCCAUGCCCUUCACUGGGUGUGGCGGGGAAACAGGACUUUUACUUUGAAAAAAUUAGAGUGCUCCAGGCAGGCCUAUGCUCGAAUACAUUAGCAUGGAAUAAUAAAAUAGGACGUGUGGUUCUAUUUUGUUGGUUUCUAGGACCGCCGUAAUGAUUAAUAGGGACAGUCGGGGGCAUCAGUAUUCAAUUGUCAGAGGUGAAAUUCUUGGAUUUAUUGAAGACUAACUACUGCGAAAGCAUUUGCCAAGGAUGUUUUCAUUAAUCAGGAACGAAAGUUAGGGGAUCGAAGACGAUCAGAUACCGUCGUAGUCUUAACCAUAAACUAUGCCGACUAGGGAUCGGACGAUGUUAUUAUUUGACUCGUUCGGCACCUUACGAGAAAUCAAAGUGCUUGG
rnacentral:rRNA from 1 species